CCUACGGGGGGCAGCAGUGGGGAAUAUUGGUCAAUGGGCGAAAGCCUGAUCCAGCCAUGCCGCGUGUGUGAAGAAGGCCUUCGGGUUGUAAAGCACUUUCAGUGGGGAAGAAAGCCUUGGGGCUAAUACCCUCGAGGAAGGACAUCACCCACAGAAGAAGCACCGGCUAACUCCGUGCCAGCAGCCGCGGUAAUACGGAGGGUGCGAGCGUUAAUCGGAAUUACUGGGCGUAAAGCGCGCGUAGGCGGUCUGAUAAGCCGGUUGUGAAAGCCCCGGGCUCAACCUGGGAACGGCAUCCGGAACUGUCAGGCUAGAGUGCAGGAGAGGAAGGUAGAAUUCCCGGUGUAGCGGUGAAAUGCGUAGAGAUCGGGAGGAAUACCAGUGGCGAAGGCGGCCUUCUGGACUGACACUGACGCUGAGGUGCGAAAGCGUGGGUAGCAAACAGGAUUAGAUACCCCUGUAGUC
rnacentral:rRNA from 1 species